AGUAACACGUGGGUAACCUGCCCAAGAGAUCGGGAUAACACCUGGAAACAGAUGCUAAUACCGGAUAAAAGCUACUUUCGCAUGAAAGAAGUUUAAAAGGCGGCGUAAGCUGUCGCUAAAGGAUGGACCUGCGAUGCAUUAGCUAGUUGGUAAGGUAACGGCUUACCAAGGCGAUGAUGCAUAGCCGAGUUGAGAGACUGAUCGGCCACAUUGGGACUGAGACACGGCCCAAACUCCUACGGGAGGCAGCAGUC
rnacentral:rRNA from 1 species